UACGAAGGGGGCUAGCGUUGCUCGGAAUCACUGGGCGUAAAGCGCGCGUAGGCGGAUUGUUAAGUCAGGGGUGAAAUCCUGGAGCUCAACUCCAGAACUGCCUUUGAUACUGGCGAUCUCGAGUCCGGGAGAGGUGAGUGGAACUGCGAGUGUAGAGGUGAAAUUCGUAGAUAUUCGCAAGAACACCAGUGGCGAAGGCGGCUCACUGGCCCGGUACUGACGCUGAGGCACGAAAGCGUGGGGAGCGAACGGG
rnacentral:rRNA from 1 species